AGUGAACGCUGGCGGUAGGCCUAACACAUGCAAGUCGAACGGCAGCACAGGAGAGCUUGCUCUCUGGGUGGCGAGUGGCGGACGGGUGAGGAAUACAUCGGAAUCUACUCUGUCGUGGGGGAUAACGUAGGGAAACUUACGCUAAUACCGCAUACGACCUACGGGUGAAAGCAGGGGACCUUCGGGCCUUGCGCGAUUGAAUGAGCCGAUGUCGGAUUAGCUAGUUGGCGGGGAAAAGGCCCACCAAGGCGACGAUCCGUAGCUGGACUGAGAGGAUGAUCCGCCACACGGGAACUGAGACACUGUCCAGCCUCCUACGGGAGGCAGCAGUGGGGAAUAUUGGACAAGGGGCGCAAGCCUGAUCCAGCCAUACCGCGUGGGUGAAGAAGGCCUUCGGGUUGUAAAGCCCUUUUUUUGGAAAAGAAAUCCAGCUGGCUAAUACCCGGUUGGGAUGACGGUACCCAAAGAAUAAGCACCGGCUAACUUCGUGCCAGCCGCCGCCGUAA
rnacentral:rRNA from 1 species